UGGAAAUCAGCACGGAGUCCUCCAAAUGCAAACUUCGAUUAGCAUUUGACCGCAAUCAUAUGGAUCAAACUCUGCUCACCCCCUCACAGAAUCUUCGCCUGGCACCUGCAGCCUGAGGGGAACAGCCCCCUCUGCCUCUGAGUAUUGUGGGCAGAGGGCCUACAGAACAACUGGGCAUGGGGCCUGUGCCUCUUCUCCAGCCCACAGGAGGCAUAGGCAGAAGAAUCUUGAGAUUCUGCUCAGCCUGAGCUGCAGAGGAGACCGUUUCUCACAAAGAAAGCAAGCCUGAAGUGGAACUGGCCUGCUGGAGGUCUACUGACUCCUGGAACACAGUAGGAAAAAUCUAGAAUGCAGACACCUCUGAAUUCAUACUUGGAAAGAAGUAUGAAUAGAAUUCCUUCAACACAGGGACCCCUCAAUGCUGGAUAUGUCACAAUUCACAAAGGACCCCGAUGUAAAACUGUAGAGUCUGCAAGGCCCUCACUGGGGACAGUGAGGCAUUGAGAAACUGGGCAUGGAUGAAGCAGUAAUGCGAAUGUUUCAGCUGACAUCUCCUGUGACCUACAAGACUCAGGAGAUCCAGACCACAAUGAGGAAGAGAAGGAGGAAGAGGAAGAGGAGGAAGAGGAGGAGAUGACUUGAGGAUUCCUUGGUACACUAGAGGACAGGAUGUU